rnacentral:rRNA from 1 species
UACGUAGGGACCGAGCGUUGUCCGGAAUCAUUGGGCGUAAAGAGCGUGUAGGCGGCCUUUUAAGUCCUGCGUGAAAUCCUGCGGCUCAACCGCAGACGGUCGUGGGAAACUGGAAGGCUAGAGUGCGGGAGAGGAGAGUGGAAUUCCCGGUGUAGCGGUGAAAUGCGUAGAUAUCGGGAGGAAUACCUAUGGCGAAAGCAGGCUACUGGACCGUCACUGACUCUGAUCUGCGAAAGCUAGGGGAGCAAACAGG